AGUGAACGCUGGCGGCGUGCCUAAUACAUGCAAGUCGAACGGAGUGGCGCACGCGUGAGUAAUGUAUAGCUAAUCUGCCCUACACUAGAGGACAACCGUUGGAAACCGCUGCUAAUACCCUAAAGUGUAGGAUGAGGCUAUAUUGUAUCAGCGAGUUGGGGAGGUAAUGGCUCACCAAGGCUAUGACGCAUAACUGGGCUGAGAGGAUGAUCUGUGGCACUGUAACUGAGACACGGUCCAGACUCCGACGGGAGGCAGCAGUAGGCAAUAGUGCUCAAGGGGGGAAACCCGGAAGCAGCAACGCCGCGUGGAGGAUGACACUUUUCGGAGCGUAAACUCCUUUUGUUAGGGAUGCGGUACCUAACGAAUAAGCACCGGCUAACUCCGUGCCAGCAGCCGCGGUAAUUC
rnacentral:rRNA from 1 species